GAUUUCUACUUUCUGUGAUUAAAAAUCUAAAUAACUAUAAUGGCUUACACAAGUCUUACAUCUUCUCCAUUAGUGUCAAAUGUUAGCGUUGGUGGAACCUCUAAGAUUAAUAACAACAAGGUAUCUGCACCUUGCUCUGUUUUCGUUCCGUCGAUGAGAAGGCCGACGACUAGGCUGGUAGCUCGGGCUACCGGCGAUAACAAAGAUACGUCAGUCGACGUACACCACAGCAGUGCUCAAGGAGGAAACAACCAAGGCACUGCCGUCGAACGCCGUCCUACGAGGAUGGCGCUUGAUGUUUCCCCUUUUGGAGUGUUAGAUCCAAUGUCACCGAUGAGAACAAUGCGGCAGAUGAUAGACACUAUGGACAGAUUAUUCGAAGAUACAAUGACAUUUCCAGGAAGAAACAGAGCAUCAGGAACAGGGGAAAUACGCACUCCAUGGGACAUUCAUGAUGAUGAAAACGAAAUCAAGAUGCGUUUCGACAUGCCGGGACUGUCCAAGGAAGAUGUAAAAGUAUCAGUAGAAAAUGACAUGCUUGUCAUUAAAGGGGAACACAAAAAGGAAGAAGACGGAAGAGAUAAACACUCAUGGGGUAGGAAUUAUAGCUCUUACGACACUCGUUUAAGUCUCCCAGAUAAUGUUGUGAAGGAUAAAAUCAAAGCGGAACUGAAGAAUGGAGUUCUUUUCAUCUCGAUUCCAAAGACUGAAGUGGAGAAAAAGGUGAUUGAUGUCCAAAUUAACUAACAUUCAGAAUCGCCAUGCUUUUGUUGUUCUAGGUUCAUUUGUAACCUUGUGUAAAAUGUAUGUUCGCAUAUGAAUAUAAAAC
rnacentral:misc_RNA from 1 species